rnacentral:rRNA from 1 species
UACGUAGGGGGCAAGCGUUGUCCGGAUUUAUUGGGCGUAAAGAGCGUGUAGGCGGCCAGACAGGUCAGCUGUGAAAACUCGAGGCUCAACCUCGAGACGUCGGUUGAAACCGUCUGGCUAGAGUCCGGAAGAGGAGAGUGGAAUUCCCGGUGUAGCGGUGAAAUGCGCAGAUAUCGGGAAGAACACCCGUGGCGAAGGCGGCUCUCUCGGGACGGUACUGACGCUGAGACGCGAAAGCGUGGGGAGCGAACAGG